GAUGAACGCUGGCGGCGUGCCUAAUACAUGCGAGUCGAGCGAACGGACGAGAAGCUUGCUUUUCUGAUGUUAGCGGCGGACGGGUGAGUAACACGUGGAUAACCUACCUAUAAGACUGGGAUAACUUCGGGAAACCGGAGCUAAUACCGGAUAAUAUUUUGAACCGCAUGGUUCAAAAGUGAAAGACGGUCUUGCUGUCACUUAUAGAUGGAUCCGCGCUGCAUUAGCUAGUUGGUAAGGUAACGGCUUACCAAGGCAACGAUGCAUAGCCGACCUGAGAGGGUGAUCGGCCACACUGGAACUGAGACACGGUCCAGACUCCUACGGGAGGCAGCAGUAGGGAAUCUUCCGCAAUGGGCGAAAGCCUGACGGAGCAACGCCGCGUGAGUGAUGAAGGUCUUCGGAUCGUAAAACUCUGUUAUUAGGGAAGAACAUGUGUGUAAGUAACUGUGCACAUCUUGACGGUACCUAAUCAGAAAGCCACGGCUAACUACGUG
rnacentral:rRNA from 1 species